UACGUAGGGCGCAAGCGUUGUCCGGAAUUAUUGGGCGUAAAGAGCUCGUAGGCGGCCUGUCGCGUCUGCUGUGAAAUCCCGGGGCUCAACCCCGGGCGUGCAGUGGAUACGGGCUGGCUAGAGGCAGGCAGGGGAGAACGGAAUUCCCGGUGUAGCGGUGAAAUGCGCAGAUAUCGGGAGGAACACCGGUGGCGAAGGCGGUUCUCUGGGCCUGUACUGACGCUGAGGAGCGAAAGCGUGGGGAGCGAACAGG
rnacentral:rRNA from 1 species